UGCAAGUCGAGGGGUAGCAGGGAGCUUGCUCCGCUGACGACCGGCGAACGGGUGCGUAACGCGUAUAGAAUCUACCUCUUACUAAGGGAUAGCCCAGAGAAAUUUGGAUUAAUAUCUUAUAGUAUGUUAACUUGGCAUCAAGAUAACAUUAAAGGUUACGGUAAGAGAUGACUAUGCGUCCUAUUAGCUAGAUGGUGUGGUAACGGCACACCAUGGCAACGAUAGGUAGGGGCCCUGAGAGGGGGAUCCCCCACACUGGUACUGAGACACGGACCAGACUCCUACGGGAGGCAGCAGUGAGGAAUAUUGGACAAUGGAGGCAACUCUGAUCCAGCCAUGCCGCGUGCAGGAAGACUGCCCUAUGGGUUGUAAACUGCUUUUAUACAGGAAGAAACACUCUCACGUGUGAGAGCUUGACGGUACUGUAAGAAUAAGGAUCGGCUAACUCCGUGCCAGCAGCCGCGGUAAUACGGAGGAUCCAAGCGUUAUCCGGAAUCAUUGGGUUUAAAGGGUCCGUAGGUGGAUAAUUAAGUCAGAGGUGAAAUCCUGCAGCUCAACUGUAGAAUUGCCUUUGAUACUGGUUGUCUUGAGUUAUUAUGAAGUAGUUAGAAUAUGUAGUGUAGCGGUGAAAUGCAUAGAUAUUACAUAGAAUACCAAUUGCGAAGGCAGAUUACUAAUAAUAUACUGACACUGAUGGACGAAAGCGUGGGGAGCGAACAGGAUUAGAUACCCUGGUAGUCCACGCCGUAAACGAUGGUCACUAGCUGUUCGAACUUCGGUU
rnacentral:rRNA from 1 species